rnacentral:lncRNA from 1 species
CGGUUGGCAACUGUUCGUUUUUGUAAUGACUUUGAAUUAACAUCUUCACCACCACCACUUCUGUCACAACGGUGAACAAAACGAAGUAGGUACCCCACACCACGGAAUACGAUGACGUUUAUGAGACAACCACGAAUAGCUUAAUGUAUAUCAGCUGUAAUGUGCGUGUUUUCUCUCAUGAGUAUGAAUAGCGAUAUUAUGUAUAUGCAGUAGAUAUGACUGCCUCUUUUUUCAAAUAUGGAAAUGCCUAUCUUCCUAAGCUAUUAUAUAGUUAUCUGCCAACGUCCGAGAAACCGAUAUGAGCGAGAAUGAUUUGCGUCUCGGCAUGAUUAGCAAAAAAGUACACCCGCACUUACAAGCGAUUUGUCGAAGUGUAAUUCGCAAUUGUCUGCCUGAAAUCGAACGUUGCCGAAGACCUAAUGGAAAGCUUUCCAUAAACCAACAGGUAGUUUCGUAACUUUGACUGGCCUCUUCGAACAAUUAGAAAACAUUGGGAAAUCAAUUUUUUAACGACGAGACGAACGAGGAUUCGAAAAAUUAAUGGGCGUGAUAGACUUUGGAGACUUCAACGUCAAAUCGUUUAUUGCCUCGGGGACACUGCACCUUAUUUUAUUCAGUUAUCGGUCGUUUACCAAAAAACAACCCGAAGAAUGCAGCUGUCAACGGCACAGAAAUAAUCUGGCGGAAGAAAAGUACACGAAACUUAAUACCAAAUAACGGAAAUCAGGAUGGAAAAUGGUAACUACAGAAUAACGUAGUUCCUUUACAAUUAGGUGUCGCAGGUUCCAAAGUUUGAAAAGAAAGACAUCGACAAUAUGUCUGCAAAGAAAGAUAAACCAAAGUGUGAAGUUGCUCCUCCAGAAGGUUCGGACCCCAGCACCGUAUCCCAAGAGUAAGCUUUGAUAUGGAAGAUCUUUAACUUCAAUUAGGGGUCGAAAGAAGAAACGGCAAGACCCUGGUGUGGAGUGACUGUGAAUCAGUCAGAAACAACGACGAAAAACACCGAACCAAAAAUGGAUGAUGAUCUCUCGACCCCGGAGGCUAAAAUAAUCGACGGGAA